GGACCCGCACAAGUAGUGGAGCAUGUGGUUUAAUUCGAAGAUACGCGCAGAACCUUACCAACACUUGACAUGUUCGUCGCGACUUUAAGAGAUUAAAGUUUUCGGUUCGGCCGGACGAAACACAGGUGCUGCAUGGCUGUCGUCAGCUCGUGUCGUGAGAUGUUGGUUAAGUCCCGCAACGAGCGCAACCCUCACUUUUAGUUGCCAUCAUUUAGUUGGGCACUCUGAAAGAACUGCCAGUGAUAAGCUGGAGGAAGGUGGGGAUGACGUCAAGUCCUCAUGGCCCUUACGUGUUGGGCUACACACGUGCUACAAUGGUCGGUACAAAUGGGUCGCCACCCAGCGAUGGGGCG
rnacentral:rRNA from 1 species